rnacentral:lncRNA from 1 species
ACAACAGAAACACAACGUUAAAUGUAACACACACAGAAACGAACUAUAAUAUAACAAUGGCCAUAUUCCUGACUUGGUACAGGACAUUUUUUUUAAAAGAAAAAAAUGGUGGGUUGAACCUGGUUUUGUGGCAUGCCAAACCUCCCGCUUUAAAGACAAUGUUAAAUAUAACAUUAAAAUGACAACAUGACAUUACAGGACUACAAUACAAAUAAAUAGGAGAACAUUUUAGACAAAGAAACAAACGAAUGAUAGCUAACAAAAGGCGCCAGGUUUAAAAUUUAAUACACCAGAAGUGCGUUUCGUCCACACAAG